GUUAUUCCUUCUUCAUUUUUUUCAAUAGAGAUACUCAUCGCACAAACUCACAAGUUCUUAACUCUUGAUGACUUCUUUUUAUAACACAAUUUCUCUCGAUCUCGAAAUCUACCUGGACAAUUUUGCUUUCUGGCUAUUAACUAAUUCAUUAUUUCUAGGGUGGCCUAGCGCUGCUGGAAAGCGUGGAUUCGAUUAUGAGUGGAUUAACGAUGCCACUGAUGUUUAUUCGAGUUAGUUGCAAUGCUUUAUGUGUAUCAGAGCCAUGAUUUUAUUUUGGAAUAUUGUCACUGAAGAGAACGUGUGUUCCAACAGAAUCGAUGCCCAAUGACAAAUUAUACCGUUAAUUACGUUUGUCAGUUCAAAAACAACGCGGCAUUGUUAAUAUUGCAAACGCCAUUCGACAUGUCCAUCCCUCACAUUGGGACCGCGUGUUUGGAAAGUAAAAUGCCACCACAUGGGACUGAGUGCUACAGCAAGGGGUGGUGCCAAAAGAACUUUAAUAAGGACGAGUAUGCUGUCAUGUUGAAAAAAAUAUCUAUCACUAUUGGACAAGUCUGUAUGUGAAAGGGCCUUCCGACCUAUUGUAGGAUCUGCCUAUAAUAUGGACGACCCCCUGACGUGCGCAGGAGGAGUUAUCGGUUUAAGUAAUUGUAAGGAAGAUGGUGGCUCACCCCUCAUAUGUCCUAUACCCUCGUCUGAAGGCACUCGCUUCGCUGUGGUGGGAUUGGUCGUUCUGGGAUACAGAUGUGGUGGUAUGGUAUUCCAGUCGCCUUCACGAAUGUACCACAGGUGUACAACUGGGUCGACGCUAUUAUGAAGACCUACAAUUACGAUACCACCUCGUUCGAAUACUAAACUAAAAUAUAUCUUUACUAAAUUAACGACUCGACAUUCGAGGUUGGAUGAGAAUGUUGCAGAUACCAUGGACAGCAAAAUUAAUAAAUCCAUUUUCAACCAACUCUAAAUCACCACUAGACUGUCAACUAUCAUUUACAAAUGCUUAGGCCAAAUUGCCAGGAGAAAACGGAAUAAUCUCGAACUGUUAAUGGUAGGGAGGGGUGAUGGCAGAAGUCGGGGUCUCACCUAAUUAGGACAAUUAUGAUGCCCUUAUGCCAGAGCUGAGGAUGGAGUUGUGUGGAGGCAGUCGAGGUACGAGAUAAGGGCUUUUCGCGCACGUCUUUAAUAAUUAAGAUUCCAAUUAUAAAAUUACAAUAACUCGUACAAAACACGAAUUAAUCCUUUAAUAACGUGGAAUUAAUAUGAUUCUAUGAAUAUAUAAAAUAUUUAUAGCCGACUCAGUUGACAUUGUUCUGUUAUAUGUUAGGGUUAUGUUUUAAAAAAAAAGAUAAGAUUCUUGUAGACAGUUUUAAAAACAUCAAACUUGUAAUUUAAAAGACGUUGUUAUGGAAUUAAGUAUUUAGUUUUUAUACAAGAGCUGGAUAUUAAACAUUGUAUAUGUACUUAUAUUGAAUAAAAAUAAUUUUAUUUAUUAUAAAACUCUACAAGAAACGUUCGUAAGAAACUUAGACUUGCUUAGCAAAGCGGAUCACAAAAAAGGUUAAAUUUUUGCAUUAUUGUUUAGACACACAAAUAACGCGAUUAAAAAAGUUUAAAUUAAUCACCGCCCAGGGCUUGCGUGUGUAAGUUUAAUUUUUUUUAUUGUCUAUUGUUUUCAGUGGGGACUGGGGGACCUUUAUAUUCACGGGGCCCAGGGUUAAAGUUUAUAACUCAAUUUAAUAAAGUUUAUAUCUCA